UACGAAGGGCGCAAGCGUUGUCCGGAAUUAUUGGGCGUAAAGAGCUCGUAGGCGGUCUGUUGCGUCUGCUGUGAAAACCCGGGGCUUAACCCCUGGCUUGCAGUGGAUACGGACAGACUAGAGGUAGGUAGGGGAGAAUGGAAUUCCCGGUGUAGCGGUGAAAUGCGCAGAUAUCGGGAGGAACACCGGUGGCGAAGGCGGUUCUCUGGGCCUUACCUGACGCUGAGGAGCGAAAGCGUGGGGAGCAAACAGG
rnacentral:rRNA from 1 species